GGGAAGUCAGUAGCCAUUCGGGUGGCUGGGGGAGCCAUACACUGGCAACCUACUGCGCAAAGCCACCUAGACUGGGGAGCCAGAUCCGGCACCGUAGAUGUUGGCAUCAUGAGGGACCUGCCAGCAGGUAGUAUUGUUGGGAUAUCCAGCAAUAUUGCCAGACGUGUGAUACCUGCCAGAGAGCUGGGAAGAAUAUAGACCAUCCCUGGG